rnacentral:lncRNA from 1 species
UACCAUGGAACCUAGUAGAAAAGCUAUAUGCGUUUUAUGCAAUUUGUAUAGAAUCAGGCUAUGUGAAACUUAAGCUUCAAAAUGCACUUUUGUAGGAUUGGAGGCCUAGUUUGAAAUUGGUCGCUUGAAACCCUAAUUGGGGAUAAAACUAACGCAUUGGAAAGCUCAAAUCGGCGUUCCGAUGAGCCUACGGCAAGCUAGUGAGGAAAAAUCUCAUUUUAGCUUCGUUUGUCGCGAGCGAGGGUCGUGAUUGUUUAGAAAUCGCGAGAAGUAGUUUUCUCGCUUCUCGGCAUUAUUUAAAGGUGGGUGGUGCUUUCCGAAGUCAUCGAAUGACAUAUUAUGUUUAUGUCAAUUUUAUUGAGCAUACAUGGAUUAUACAUAUUUAGUUGAUAUUCAUACAUAAUAGGGUUGUGAUUGUCAUAUGGUAAAGUGUAAUAUGUGUUCUAUUUGUAUGAUUUGGAAGCAAAGUACAGUUGGACAAUGGUUAGUAAAUAUAGAACUCUAUAGGUGUAUGAACUUGUGUUUGACUAUGAAAUAGUUGACAAAGUAACAUUGUGAAUAGAUUGCAUGAGUGGCACCUAGUAUUGUGAAUGUCAAACAAGGAGAAUGAACUGGUAAAAUGUGUGGCAUUAGAACUAGAUGAACUUAUUAGCAUCUGGAGUUGGACAUGUAAAUCUAGCAUAAAGAGCUAGUUAAAGUGUGGCAUUAUCAGUGCAUCCUCUAAGGGAGGAUUAGAUCAUACUCACAUUAGUCUAAUGCUCGAGAUAAGGUCGCUCCUCCUUGGGCGAUGAGCUCUGGAGUGUGUCAUCAACUGGGUUGAUCGUAUAAGCCUUCCUAGUAGACGGUCCCGUCGGGAGGCAGCUUACGGCCCGACAAAAGGGAUUGAGUUGGUGAGUUAUAGUUAACCAAAUGGUUAACCAGAUUGAUUGAGUAAUGAUUAUUAAUAGCAUGCACGCAUAACUUUCAUCUGUUAUAUAUAUUGUUCCUUUCAGCUUUGUACAGGCAUUGUAGUAGUUACAUGUUAUAAUUGAUUACUAUCUGUUCUUUUCUUUACCUACAUAUGCAUAAAUAAACCUAGUGGGUGAAUCGGUAAGGUCGGCAGCCGAACCCACUGGAAACUUUCAAUAGUUCUCACCCCACUAACCAUGCAGGUUCUUGUUCGUGCGGGGUGGUUGAGGAUCGUGACUUGGACAGCGCUCCAUAAAUAGCUGACAUCUAUUGAGUAUAGUUGUACCUUGUACAUUUCAUCUAUUUAUAGUUGAUGAAAGCAAAUGUAAAUUGUUUAUUUGAGAGAUGGCAAUGUAUCUAUGUUAAAGAAUGUAUUAAAGAAUAUGUGUAAGUAGAUGGUAAGCUUUGUAUUUGAUUUAAAGUAAUCAAGAUACAAUGUAGGAAUGUUUUAGUUAUUUACUUUCACUUGUUUGUGUUGCUUACCCUCGUGUAGGCCAUGUAUAUUGAAAUUUUUUCUU